UACGGAGGGUGCGAGCGUUCUCCGGAAUUACUGGGUUUAAAGGGUGCGUAGGCGGCUAAGUAAGUCAGGAGUGAAAGUUUGCGGCUCAACCGUAAAAUUGCUUUUGAUACUGCAUAGCUAGAAUUAGGAUGAGGUCAGCGGAAUGUGGCAUGUAGCGGUGAAAUGCAUAGAUAUGCCAUAGAACACCAAUUGCGAAGGCAGCUGGCUAGACCUGGAUUGACGCUGAGGCACGAAAGCGUGGGGAGCGAACAGG
rnacentral:rRNA from 1 species